rnacentral:rRNA from 1 species
GGCGGGGAUUAGUGGCGAACGGGUGAGUAACACGUGGGCAAUCUGCCCUGCACUCUGGGACAAGCCCUGGAAACGGGGUCUAAUACCGGAUAUGACCGUCUGCCGCAUGGUGGAUGGUGUAAAGCUCCGGCGGUGCAGGAUGAGCCCGCGGCCUAUCAGCUUGUUGGUGAGGUAGUGGCUCACCAAGGCGACGACGGGUAGCCGGCCUGAGAGGGCGACCGGCCACACUGGGACUGAGACACGGCCCAGACUCCUACGGGAGGCAGCAGUGGGGAAUAUUGCACAAUGGGCGAAAGCCUGAUGCAGCGACGCCGCGUGAGGGAUGACGGCCUUCGGGUUGUAAACCUCUUUCAGCAGGGAAGAAGCGAAAGUGACGGUACCUGCAGAAGAAGCGCCGGCUAACUACGUGCCAGCAGCCGCGGUAAUACGUAGGGCGCAAGCGUUGUCCGGAAUUAUUGGGCGUAAAGAGCUCGUAGGCGGCUUGUCACGUCGGUUGUGAAAGCCCGGGGCUUAACCCCGGGUCUGCAGUCGAUACGGGCAGGCUAGAGUUCGGUAGGGGAGAUCGGAAUUCCUGGUGUAGCGGUGAAAUGCGCAGAUAUCAGGAGGAACACCGGUGGCGAAGGCGGAUCUCUGGGCCGAUACUGACGCUGAGGAGCGAAAGCGUGGGGGAGCGAACAGGAUUAGAUACCCUGGUAGUCCACGCCGUAAACGGUGGGCACUAGUGUGGGCAACAUUCCACGUUGUCCGUGCCGCAGCUAACGCAUUAAGUGCCCCGCCUGGGGAGUACGGCCGCAAGGCUAAAACUC